rnacentral:rRNA from 1 species
CCUACGGGAGGCAGCAGUGGGGAAUAUUGCACAAUGGGGGAAACCCUGAUGCAGCGACGCCGCGUGGGUGAAGAAGCGCCUCGGCGCGUAAAGCUCUAUCAGCAUGGAAGAAAAUGACGGUACCUGAAGAAGAAGCCCCGGCUAACUACGUGCCAGCAGCCGCGGGAAUACGUAGGGGGCAAGCGUUAUCCGGAUUUACUGGGUGUAAAGGGGGCGCAGCCGGGGCUGCAAGUCAGGAGUGAAAGGCCGGGGCCCAACCCCGGGACUGCUUUUGAGACUGGGUGGCUAGAGUGCAGGAGGGGUAAGCGGAAUUCCUGGUGUAGCGGUGAAAUGCGUAGAUAUCAGGAGGAACACCGGUGGCGAAGGCGGCCUACUGGACUGUAACUGACGUUGAGGCUCGAAAGCGUGGGGAGCAAACAGGAUUAGAUACCCUUGUAGUC